ensembl:lncRNA
AUGGGCGUGCGUGCUGAACAUUCGAGUCUCAUUCAAACACUGGAGCGGAGGGAGUUGCCAUGGAAACGGAGCGCCAACACAACAACUGACAAGCCGGGAAUCACUGACUUUUGCUGCUGUUUUCAAAGCUUUCGAUUCUUCAGUGCUAAUGGCCUGCUGCACCCCAGAGUCCUGUCAGACAACAUCUACAAAGAACACUGAACCAUAUAGCCAAUAACUUAACCUCAAAUAUACACUAUUGUUCAAAAUUCAGUAAGAUAUUUUUUGUUUUUGAAAAGACAUCUUAUGCUCACACAAGCUUUUUUUUCAGGAAAAAAAUUCAAAAGAAAAGCAUUUAUCUGAAACUGAAAAUUUACACUCACUUUUGAUCGAUUUAAUGCAUCCUUGCUGAAUUAAACUGAUUUAUUUAUUUUUUUAAACUAAACUAUUAAGCUGUAGUGAGGGAGCGUGGUUCAUCUCACUGCUUUUGGGAGAAGCAUCCACAAGCUCUCAAUUCAGUCUCUUUUUCCACCUUCCCGUUCUCCGGUUGCUUUUUAUCUGGUCUCUCCACGCCAGUUACUGCAAUCAGACACAGGUGUUUAUCAUUUUGCACUUUACUCAGUGCUCGUCUCCCAAAUCUCUGUCCAGUUGGUCGCUGCAGACCUUGCUGAACCACACCCCACUUUGCCACAUAAACUUUUAGUGUACACUAAAAUGUUCUGGGUCUAUUUAAAAUAGAAAUAAGUUACAUUUUACUAUAUUCACACAAAACUGCUGUUCAAAAAAUUCAGCUUAGAUCACAGUGAUCAAUUACAUUUUAACACAAUUCACACAUAACACAUCUCAUUACCGUGCACUACAGUUAUAUGUGAUGAAAUAAAUCAUCUUUUAUGUGAAAUAAUACGAACA